rnacentral:tRNA from 1 species
CGGUGGCUGAGUGGUUAAAGGCGUUGGACUGUAAAUCCAAUCUCUUCGGAGUUCGAGGGUUCGAAUCCCUCUCG